rnacentral:tRNA from 2 species
UCUAAUAUGGCAGAAUAGUGCAAUGAGCUUAAGCCUCAUACAUAAAGAACAAUCUUUUAUUAGAA